rnacentral:rRNA from 1 species
AGAGUUUGAUCCUGGCUCAGGACGAACGCUGGCGGCACGCUUAACACAUGCAAGUCGAACGAGAGAAGAGAAGCUUGCUUUUCUGAUCUAGUGGCGGACGGGUGAGUAACACGUGAGCAAUCUGCCUUUCAGAGGGGGAUACCGAUUGGAAACGAUCGUUAAUACCGCAUAAUAUAAUUGAACCGCAUGAUUUGAUUAUCAAAGAUUUAUCGCUGAAAGAUGAGCUCGCGUCUGAUUAGCUAGUUGGUAAGGUAACGGCCUACCAAGGCGACGAUCAGUAGCCGGACUGAGAGGUUGAUCGGCCACAUUGGGACUGAGACACGGCCCAGACUCCUACGGGAGGCAGCAGUGGGGAAUAUUGCACAAUGGAGGAAACUCUGAUGCAGCGAUGCCGCGUGAGGGAAGAAGGUUUUAGGAUUGUAAACCUCUGUCUUCAGGGACGAAAAAAGACGGUACCUGAGGAGGAAGCUCCGGCUAACUACGUGCCAGCAGCCGCGGUAAUACGUAGGGAGCGAGCGUUGUCCGGAAUUACUGGGUGUAAAGGGAGCGUAGGCGGGAUCGCAAGUCAGAUGUGAAAACUAUGGGCUUAACCCAUAAACUGCAUUUGAAACUGUGGUUCUUGAGUGAAGUAGAGGUAAGCGGAAUUCCUAGUGUAGCGGUGAAAUGCGUAGAUAUUAGGAGGAACACCAGUGGCGAAGGCGGCUUACUGGACGGUAACUGACGCUGAGGCUCGAAAGCGUGGGGAGCAAACAGGAUUAGAUACCCUGGUAGUCCACGCCGUAAACGAUGAUUACUAGGUGUGGGGGGACUGACCCCUUCCGUGCCGCAGCAAACGCAAUAAGUAAUCCACCUGGGGAGUACGACCGCAAGGUUGAAACUCAAAGGAAUUGACGGGGGCCCGCACAAGCAGUGGAGUAUGUGGUUUAAUUCGACGCAACGCGAAGAACCUUACCAAGUCUUGACAUCCUGCGACGGUGCUGGAAACAGUACUUUCCUUCGGGACGCAGAGACAGGUGGUGCAUGGUUGUCGUCAGCUCGUGUCGUGAGAUGUUGGGUUAAGUCCCGCAACGAGCGCAACCCUUACUGUUAGUUGCUACGCAAGAGCACUCUAGCAGGACUGCCGUUGACAAAACGGAGGAAGGUGGGGAUGACGUCAAAUCAUCAUGCCCCUUAUGACCUGGGCCUCACACGUACUACAAUGGCUGUCAACAGAGGGAAGCAAAGCCGCGAGGUGGAGCGAACCCCUAAAAGCAGUCUUAGUUCGGAUUGUAGGCUGCAACCCGCCUACAUGAAGUCGGAAUUGCUAGUAAUCGCAGAUCAGCAUGCUGCGGUGAAUACGUUCCCGGGCCUUGUACACACCGCCCGUCACGCCAUGGGAGUCGGUAACACCCGAAGCCUGUAGUCUAACCGCAAGGAGGACGCAGUCGAAGGUGGGAUUGAUGACUGGGGUGAAGUCGUAACAAGGUAGCCGUAUCGGAAGGUGCGGCUG